UAAUGACUAUAUAAAUGUGUGCCACUGGCCUGAGUCUACUACAAUAGCUUUACAAGAACAAAAUGCUCAAUAAGUACAGUUCUAAAAGCGAAAGAACUACUUCAAUGAAUAACCAAAUAAAUAAACCAAAAUAUCCUCCAAAUAUACUUAAUUAUUGUUCAGUCAGUGUUUCAACACUUCAAACAACAGCUAUGGACAAGUAUGUCACACAACAUCUACCCCUGAGUCCAGGUCGAAAUUCUUUCAUAAUCAAAUCCCCUCAAAUGCUGCGUAUCUUGCUUGGAGAGAAGCCGGGUUCAGCGGCCCAUGUGACUGAUUCCGGAAUCUACCUCUACAUGGCCAGCGGUUAGCUACACAAAAUCUCUGCUCGUCCUUAUCUCAGGUCCAGCGCUCCACUCUAUCCACUGAGUCUGUCAUCGCUUCCAAAAAGCCUUUCAAGGCGGAGCUUGUAUGUGGAAAGCGUCACUCAUGGUGCACUUGUGGACACCGAGAGAAACAGCCUUUCUGUGAUGGAACCCACAAGGCUAAAGCCCAGGGCCUGAUGCCUCAGCGCUUCGUCCCUGAGAAGGACUCCAAAGCUUAGCUGUGUGGCUGCAAGUACACCGCUAACCCACCACUCACAAGCAGGAAUUCAUUCAGUCUGCCCUGCUCAAGGGGAACACAAACUUCUGAAUGGAUAGGAGCUGCAUGUGUUUUUGUCCAAUUUACUGUGGUGUCAGUUCUGGUCCUGGAGAUGGGGGGCCCUAAUCACUGGUUCAGAAGGGUGAUUGACCGUGAACAGAUGACGUAUGCAUAUCUGACGUGCUUAGAUCUGAUGUGAUUGGUCAAACGACCGAUUAGUGGAAAAAAUAUCAGAAUUAAGCUGCCUGUCUAAAUGCAGCCUUAGGUGCCUCAUUAGAAUAUAAUGGGAAACUCUGGGCUUAGCACUAGCUUUGAACAAAUCUCCCAUUGUCAUCCAUACAAGAUUUGCAUGACGAGAGCUCUGUGAACAACUCAAUUAAGGAUUCAUCACAUGAUAAGCAAUUUGCAAGGUGAUACUUGUUAUGAGGCGAUUCCACGAUAACAGAAUGAUGCUGAGAUUCAGAUAUUUCACUUUUAAAAUGUAAAAACCAAAGAUUAAAGUUAUUCAGACCAUUCAACUUUAUGCACAAGGACUAGUUUUAACAAUUUCCACAAAACACAUUUACUUGAGUGCAGAUGCAAAGUUUGGUAACAGAAUAACAGUGUCUUAAUCUUUGCAAUCAUUGUUUAGUUUUUUUUGGCAUACAUUUUAAAGUGAAAAAUCAGAGUCACGGCAUUGUUCUGUUACCGUGGAAUUGCCCUGUGUGGGAAUGCACUGGUGCUUCUGUAAAUGUUCUGUUACCAUGGAAUUGCCCUGUGUGGGAAUGCACUGGUGCUUCUGUAAAUGUUCUGUUACCGUGGAAUUGCCCUGUGUGGGAAUGCACUGGUGCUUCUGUAAAUGUUUGAAAUUGUGAUGAAACAGAUAUUUAAAAUUUUAAUGCUCCGCUAAUGAUACGCACAAGUAUUGUGAUGGACUGUUUCUCAAAAUCAAGUAUUGUGAUAGAACACAAUCAUAAGCUUGAUGUAAGAUGAAUUAAGAUGUAUUUCUAUAGAUCUAAAAACAGUAUUAUUUCCUCCAUGGUGUAUUCUGUCUGUGUUGAAAUUAAAACGAUCAAAUAUUUUUUUUUUUACUUUCUCUUAAUUACUGUCACAUUUUGCCAUCCCAUAACCUGUUUUGUACGUCACUUAUGAAGAAAUGCAAUGUUUCAACCGAAAACAUCCUCUGCCUUUGAAGUCAUGAAAAUCCACAGAUUCUUUGGAGAGCACAUAGUUACCGUGGUUCCCAACUUAAAAUCAAGUUAAACAGUCCUGAAUAGCAGCAUAAUGA